GUCUGCGUGGAGCCAACCUUGAAAUACCACCCUUUAAUGUUUGAUGUUCUAACGUGGACCCGUAAUCCGGGUUGCGGACAGUGUCUGGUGGGUAGUUUGACUGGGGCGGUCUCCUCCUAAAGAGUAACGGAGGAGCACGAAGGUUGGCUAAUCCUGGUCGGACAUCAGGAGGUUAGUGCAAUGGCAUAAGCCAGCUUGACUGCGAGCGUGACGGCGCGAGCAGGUGCGAAAGCAGGUCAUAGUGAUCCGGUGGUUCUGAAUGGAAGGGCCAUCGCUCAACGGAUAAAAGGUACUCCGGGGAUAACAGGCUGAUACCGCCCAAGAGUUCAUAUCGACGGCGGUGUUUGGCACCUCGAUGUCGGCUCAUCACAUCCUGGGGCUGAAGUAGGUCCCAAGGGUAUGGCUGUUCGCCAUUUAAAGUGGUACGCGAGCUGGGUUUAGAACGUCGUGAGACAGUUCGGUCCCUAUCUGCCGUGGGCGCUGGAGAACUGAGGGGGGCUGCUCCUAGUACGAGAGGACCGGAGUGGACGCAUCACUGGUGUUCGGGUUGUCAUGCCAAUGGCACUGCCCGGUAGCUAAAUGCGGAAGAGAUAAGUGCUGAAAGCAUCUAAGCACGAAACUUGCCCCGAGAUGAGUUCUCCCUGAGACUUAGAGUCUCCUGAAGGAACGUUGAAGACGACGACGUUGAUAGGCCGGGUGUGUAAGCGCAGCGAUGCGUUGAGCUAACCGGUACUAAUGAACCGUGAGGCUUAACCUU
rnacentral:rRNA from 1 species